UAGAACUGGAACUUAUAAAAGUGACACAGAUGACCUAAAAAUGAAUGAGCCAGCGGGUCAAUAUCUACGGAUAUGAAAACACUGGAAUGAUCCUUCCAGGGUGCAGACAAAUAUUUCUAGAGAAAGGAUGAUGACAACACAGAAGGACAGCCCUCAGCUGACCAGUGGUAGACAUACAGCUUGGGUGGAAAAGAAGACCUGGCUUCUUGAGAAACAAAACAAAAUACAAGGAGAAGCAGCCUUGUAAGGAGAUGUGGUGCAGCUUUGGGAG